rnacentral:misc_RNA from 1 species
UUUCCGUAGGUGAACCUGCGGAAGGAUCAUUGUCAAAACCUGUCAAGCAGGACGACCCGCGAACAAGUUUGUACCAUUAGGGAUGCAAGAUAAUCUUGCAUUCUCAAUGUCGGCACACAUGGGAGUUGGCCUAAUGCGAUCGCCUUUGGUUUAAAAGGCCAUAGUAGGCUCUUUCUUUAUCAAGACUUUUGCGUGUGAGGUGUUUCUCCCUUGUGGACUCCGAUAUUAACAAUACAUUCGGCACGGCAUGUGCCAAGGAAGUAAACUUGAAGAGCAUGCUCCUAUGACACAUCAUUGAUGUGCUUCAUGAAGGAUGUCUUUUAUAUUUAGAACGACUCUCGGCAACGGAUAUCUCGGCUCUCGCAUCGAUGAAGAACGCAGCGAAAUGCGAUACUUGGUGUGAAUUGCAGAAUCCCGUGAAUCAUCGAGUCUUUGAACGCAAGUUGCGCCCAAAGCCAUUAGGCCAAGGGCACGCCUGCCUGGGCGUCACGCAUUAUGCUGCUCCUCGAGUCUUCCCUGUUUUAUUACUGGUGAAGGCCUUAAGGAGCGAAGGUUGGUUUCCCGUGCAAUAAUUGUGCGGUUAGCCGAAAUACACAGUCCUUGGCGACACGCCUCAUGACGAGUUGUGGAUAACAUCGUUGGCCUCGUGUUACCAAGUGAAGAGAAAUAAGACUCAUGGGCUCCUUCACCUCGUGAGAAUGGAAUCCCUUUUGCGACCCC